rnacentral:rRNA from 1 species
GACGAACGCUGGCGGCGUGCUUAACACAUGCAAGUCGAACGGAAAGGCCCUGCUUUUGUGGGGUGCUCGAGUGGCGAACGGGUGAGUAACACGUGAGUAACCUGCCCUUGACUUUGGGAUAACUUCAGGAAACUGGGGCUAAUACCGGAUAGGAGCUCCUGCUGCAUGGUGGGGGUUGGAAAUUUUCGGCGUUUGGGGAUGGACUCGCGGCUUAUCAGCUUGUUGGUGGGGUAGUGGCUUACCAAGGCUUUGACGGGUAGCCGGCCUGAGAGGGUGACCGGCCACAUUGGGACUGGGAUACGGCCCAGACUCCUACGGGAGGCAGCAGUGGGGAAUAUUGCACAAUGGGCGGAAGCCUGAUGCAGCAACGCCGCGUGCGGGAUGACGGCCUUCGGGUUGUAAACCGCUUUCGCCUGUGACGAAGCGUGAGUGACGGUAAUGGGUAAAGAAGCACCGGCUAACUACGUG